UUGGCGUGAGGUUAAUUUCAUAGAAGGCCAAGGUCAUCUGAAUUCCAUCUUAAACAGGAAAGAAAGCAAGGUGCAGCUUGGCAGGGGCUAGAUAAGAGCUGAGGCCACUGAUGUAUGUUCAGUUGCAGCCUGGAAACCAUCACAGGGGAUGACGUAAACCACCGUCCGCGUACGAUGCUUUACAGGUUGUGUGGACACGGGCUCCGGAGCCAGACCCCUUGGGUUCCGAUCCACGUUCACCAUUCAUUAGUUGCAAGUGAUUGCUCUUCAAGAUUUCUUCUGAGAAGUCAUACAAAACAGGAAUGUAAAAUGCAAAAAAGACACUGAGCAGGAAGGCACUACAGAAAGCCUUCCUCCAAAGGGGAUGUUUAUUUCAGAGACACACAGGGGGACGCUCAAGCAGCUGUCUUCCAGGAAAUCGUCCACAACCCAGGAGCUCUGACUCCCGGGAGAAGGAAGAGGACGGCCCCUCGGGGCCGCACAGAAUGGACAGGCCAAGCGACAGGAGGGAGGCCGCCCGCGCUCUUCCAGGGCCUUGAGGAAGGCACAGUCACACCUGCAAAACACAGCGCCCAUCUUUUUCAUCUGCUUUUACUUCUCAGGAGACCCCGGUCCCCAGGGAUCUGUUUUCACCUCCCCGGCUCGGCACACAUGUUUUCUACAUGAUAUUAACCGGUCGCCUUUGAAUCUCGUACAUCCUGGUAUGCUUUGGGUUCACCGACCUCAUUUUUACACACACACACACACACACACACACUCCCCGGAAUCUGUACUAGCUGACUGCCGGCAAAAGAAAACGUUAGUGUGGCUCUUUCUCCUUCUUUUAAACAGCUUAAUUGAGAUACAAUGUACACGCCAUAAAACUCACUUAAAGUGUGUUCUUGCCUGACUUGGCGUUUAUUUACUGGGGUGUGCAUUAGCUGUUUCUUCCUGAAAAAUGGGGCCGCCGGGUGGACAUUUUGACCCUACAGGCUCCCCCCUUUGACAGGUGACAUCUAAAUAGACAGCAGAUUCUGUCCAUGUUUCCACCCCCUUCGCCCCCCUCCAAAAGUUGUUUUACUCAUUUUGCCACUUACAACCGACUUCCUGUGUUUGGAGUCUGAGCCGCCCAGGCCUUUUCCGGAGACUUGCUGCCUGGUUUCUGCACUAAUAGUAAGUUUCUUUUGUGUUGGAGGGGUUUUCUGUUCGGUUUUUUGUUAUUUAGAGUCUUCUGCUUGUUUCCCUUAUCUGCGGGGCUGGGGAGACCCCAAUGAAAGGUAUCUGUGUGGCCUAACGGACUCUGCAGAAGUAUUUGGUACUUAGAGCCAAAUGUAAACGUUCGCAGCAUUCUGACUCUGGGGGUGGUCAGAAAGGAAGAUGGUUAGGAAUAUGAAGAGGCUUGGAGCUUUUUCCUGAUAUUAAAAUGUUAAUCUCUAGUUUCGCUCUGACUUCUGUCUCUGUUCCCUCGUUUGAAGAAUAGGAUUUAAAAUAACUGCUUCAUGGGGCGCCCGGGUGGUUCUGUCAGUGAAGCACCCGACUCCAGCUCAGGUCACGAUCUCGCGGCUCGUGAGUUCGAGCCCCACGUCGGGCUCUGUGCUGACAGCUUGGAGCCCGGAGCCUGCUUCGGAUUCUGUGUCCCUCUUUCUCUCCACCCCACCCCUGCUUGUGCUCUGUC